UGUUGAUCAUGUGGUGUCUCUGCAAGGGCUUAGUAACAAUAGUUUUGAUUUUCACUUCUCAGACCAAGAGAUAAACGUGUCAGGAUUAAGUGGUUCCAGUUUAUAUAAUGUCGCACUUUUUGCAUUUCUGUCUUCUGUAAUCUCUUUUAUCCCAACACAUGAUACAUUUCUGUCUUUUGUAAUCUCUUUUAUCCUAACACAUGAUACAUUUCUGUCUUCUGUAAUCUCUUUUAUCCCAACACAUAAUACAUUUCUGUCUUCUGUAAUCUCUUUUAUCCCAACACAUGAUACAUUUCUGUCUUCUGUAAUCUCUUUUAUCCCAACACAUGAGACAUUUCUGUCUUUUGUAAUCUCUUUUAUCCCAACACAUGAUGCAUUUCUGUCUUCUGUAAUCUCUUUUAUCCCAAAACAUGAUACAUUUCUGUCUUCUGUAAUCUCUUUUAUCCCAAAACAUGAUACAUUUCUGUCUUCUGUAAUCUCUUUUUUCCCAACACAUGAUACAUUUCUGUCUUCUGUAAUCUAUUUUAUCCCAACACAUGAUACAUUUCUGUCUUCUGUAAUCUCUUUUAUCCCAAAACAUGAUACAUUUCUGUCUUCUGUAAUCUCUUUUAUCCCAACACGUGAUGCAUUUCUGUCUUCUGUAAUCUCUUUUAUCCCAAAACAUGAUACAUUUCUGUCUUCUUUAAUCUCUUUUUUCCCAACACAUGAUACAUUUCUGUCUUCUGUAAUCUAUUUUAUCCCAACACAUGAUACAUUUCUGUCUUCUGUAAUCUCUUUUAUCCCAAAACAUGAUACAUUUCUGUCUUCUGUAAUCUCUUUUAUCCCAACACAUGAUGCAUUUCUGUCUUCUGUAAUCUCUUUUAUCCCAACACAUGAUACAUUUCUGUCUUCUGUAAUCUCUUUUAUCCCAAAACAUGAUACAUUUCUGUCUUCUGUAAUCUCUUUUAUCCCAAAACAUGAUACAUUUCUGUCUUCUGUAAUCUCUUUUAUCCCAAAACAUGAUACAUUUCUGUCUUCUGUAAUCUCUUUUAUCCUAACACAUGAUACAUUUCUGUCUUCUGUAAUCUCUUUUAUCCCAACACAUAAUACAUUUCUGUCUUCUGUAAUCUCUUUUAUCCCAACACAUGAUACAUUUCUGUCUUCUGUAAUCUCUUUUAUCCCAACACAUGAGACAUUUCUGUCUUCUGUAAUCUCUUUUAUCCCAACACAUGAUACAUUUCUGUCUUCUGUAAUCUCUUUUAUCCCAACACAUGAUACAUUUCUGUCUUCUGUAAUCUCUUUUAUCCCAACACAUGAUACAUUUCUGUCUUCUGUAAUCUCUUUUAUCCCAACACAUGAUGCAUUUCUGUCUUCUGUAAUCUCUUUUAUCCCAACACAUGAUACAUUUCUGUCUUCUGUAAUCUCUUUUAUCCCAACACAUGAUACAUUUCUGUCUUCUGUAAUCUCUUUUAUUCCAACACAUGAUGCAUUUCUGUCUUCUGUAAUCUCUUUUAUCCCAAAACAUGAUACAUUUCUGUCUUCUGUAAUCUCUUUUAUCCCAACACAUGAUACAUUUCUGUCUUCUGUAAUCUCUUUUAUCCCAACACAUGAUACAUUUCUGUCUUCUGUAAUCUCUUUUAUCCCAACACAUGAUACAUUUCUGUCUUCUGUAAUUAUCCCAACAUAUGAUACAUUUCUGUCUUCUGUAAUCUCUUUUAUCCCAACACAUGAUACAUUUCUGUCUUCUGUAAUCUCUUUUAUCCCAACACAUGAUACAUUUCUGUCUUCUGUAAUCUCUUUUAUCCCAACACAUGAUACAUUUCUGUCUUCUGUAAUUAUCCCAACACAUGAUACAUUUCUGUCUUCUGUAAUCUCUUUUAUCCCAACACAUGAUGCAUUUCUGUCUUCUGUAAUCUCUUUUAUCCCAACACAUGAUACAUUUCUGUCUUCUGUAAUCUCUUUUAUCCCAAAACAUGAUACAUUUCUGUCUUCUGUAAUCUCUUUUAUCCCAACACAUGAUACAUUUCUGUCUUCUGUAAUCUCUUUUAUCCCAACACGAAACAUUUCUGAAAUCCUCAAGAUAAUAAUAUAACAACAAAGUGUGAAUUGAAUUGUAAUUGUGGUACAAUUGGAUCUGUAAUAAUGGUGCCCCAGUUGAUCUAACCUGCUGCCCCAGUUGAUCUAACCUGCUGCCCCAGUUGAUCUAACCUGCUGCCCCAGUUGACCAAAUGCGGAAGAAAAAUGUGGUUUUGGCUCAGUGUACACAAAUGGGUGUGUCAUGCCUCAUGUGAAUAUGAUACCAACAUUUGUCCUUUUUGUGUGAUUAGGAAACAUUUUGAUGAUUUCAG
ensembl:lncRNA